GAGCGACCGAGGAGAUACCAAUACCGGACACACCUCUGUGAAUACACCAAUCUGAUUGGAGGGUUGAUGAUUCAGGUACUGGGGAUUAAGGUAUAAAAGACCUCUUUUUUUAAUAGUUUGUUUUCCUCUGACGAAGGUGCUUUCCCUACAGCACCGAAACGCGCGUCAGGCAUUCUAUCUUCUAUUAUUUUUUACUGAUGAGCACUUAACACUUGGCACGGCAUGGUGUUAAACCUGCCUCACAUUGGUUUUUUUCGUUAAAAUUUCUUCAUAAUGUUCUAUUUAGUUUGCUCCAUUGCUGUCUAGAUGGAUAUAGGAAGUGAGGUAUUGCUACCGGUAAUUAUUUUCACUGCAAGAUUUAUAUGCAGUAUACUCUUCUAACUAUACUCUCAACCUUCCUUCAUCUUAACUCCCUGACAGCUAUAUACUUUAAUAAUCUGUCCAUAGAUAUACCAUUGAGCACUCUAAGCAUCAUGGUUUCUAUGAGUAAUAUUUCUUAAACUACUUCCUGUUACACCUCUAGAGGGACAAGUGCUAUUUACUAUACUAUUUAUCGAUUGUAUCUUUAUUUUUUAUUUUUUUCAUUUCUCUCCGAGGUAAUUUUCUGGAUGAAAUAUAAUUUAACUAUCCACAACUAAUUAUGAUCCUAUGUAACAACUUUAUAGUCCUCUCAAAUAGAGGAUCUUUUGACAAUUUGAUAAGUUUGGAUAGACAUCUCAAUAUGGAGUGUUUCUUGUAAUAUCAGGUAUAGUAAGUAACUAAGAAUAUUUCAUUUUCGUUUUUUUGAUAGUAUAUUGUACUUAAUAUGGUUAGUGUUGUGGAUAUCUACUGAGCCAGACACAAUAAAGCUCAGAGUGGAUAUCUAACACUAUUUCCACAAUAUAUAUAUAUAUAUAAAUACUAUCCAUGUACCUUGGAGCAAUUUGGUAUUUAUUUUAUUUUAUAACCCUCACCUUAUAGGGAUAUUUCAGAAUUUAUGUGUAUAUAGUCAAUAUUCAUCUUUAUUAGACUACUUUGUAUUUCCAGGAAACACAGCGAGUCACAAAUGUUUUAGACUUUGUGAUAAGCACAUUUUGUUUUUCUCUAUAUAAGCGCAGGGGUUAGGCUCCUUGAGAUCCCUGGAGUCUCUUCUUGGUAUUUUGGCUAGUUGGCCACAGCUAGAGCACCAUCACAUGUGGCUGGUGUUCGGCAGUGACUAGCUAUCAUACAUAUAUAUUUACUUUAGAGAGAGUUCAGAGAAGGGCUACUAAACUGGUUCAUGGAUUGCAGGAUAAAACUUACAAGGAAAGGUUAAAGGAACUUAACAUGCAUAGCUUAGAGGAAAGACGAGACAGGGGGUAUAUGAUAGAAACAUUCAAAUACAUAAAGGGAAUCAACACCUUAAAGGUGGAGACUAUAUUUAAAAGAAGAAAAACUACCACAACAAGAGGACAUGGUCUUAAAUUAGAGGAGCAAAGGUUUAAAAAUAAUAUCAGGAAAUAUUACUUUACUGAGAAGUAGUGGAUGCAUGGAAUAGCCUUCCAGCUGAAGUGGUAGAGAUUAACAAAGUAAAGGAGUUUAACCCCUUAACCCCUUAAGGACAGAGCUUCAAAAGCUUGUCUUUCACUUAAUGACAACGGCAUUUUUUUCAUUUUUUGCUGUUUGCGUUCAACUGCAAUGUGCAUUUUACUAAUUUGUUGCACCAACACAUAUUAUACAUCGUUUUUUAAAGGACAGAAAGGGCUUUAAUUUGAUGUAACACACAUAUAUAUAAAUGCUUAUUUAUUAUAAAAAAAUACAGAAAAAUGUAAAAAAAAUGAAAAAUUUUUGGUUUUUUUUACAGUUUUUGCAAUAAUAAUGUGUGCAUAAUUAGUGCAGGUUAAGAAAAGUAAUUAAAAAUAAAUUAAUUUAAUUAUUCUGAUUUACAGAAUAUACAAUGUGUCUGGGAUUUAAAGUUUUUUUUUGGUAGUUACAGGUCACAAAGCACAAGGAGUAAAAUAGACUUUUAAUGUGGAGCGAUUUUAGAAUUUGGUAUGUUUGUCUUGUAAGCCUAAUAGCCAUAAAAGAAAACAAAAUUGCCACACAAAGUAUAUAUUUAUAUAAAGUAGACAUCACGGGCUAUUUACCUAAGGUUGUUUUGACACUUUCUACGUAGCCAUUUCACCGCCAACCUCUGCUAAAUAUUGGAGUAAAAUUGUGUUUUUUUUUGGUUUUUGGCACACAAACCUAUAACAAAGAAAUUCUUGUGUAUAUUUUGUAAAGUUGGUGUGUGCUAUUCCUGUACAAAGUUUUAUUUUGUGUUCAGUUACAUCUGCUGAGUAAAACGACACCCCCAUUGUAUGUCUUUGCCACUAUUUUGUGAAGUUACAGUGCCACACAGGAUACCUGUCCUUUUCAGUAUUCACAGUAGAAUUUUGAGAGAUGGAUUUAAUGAGCCUUAGCUUCCAUUUGGGGUAUUAUGACAGUUUGACUGUUCAAAAAAACCCCACAAAGGCCUACCAUUUGUAAAAGUAGACACUCCAGGGUAUCUCAUAAGGUGCAUAUUGUGCCUUAACAUGCCCCCAUUUUUUCACCAAUAUAUGCCAAAGUAUGUGGUAAAAAAUAAUUUUGUGCAUUUUUUACAUACGGAUUGCAUUUUUGCUGGGCGUUUUGUAUAUUUCAUAUGUGCCACUAAGUUCAAACCCCCAAAUUAUGCUCAGCUAAGUCUUCUGAGUAAAAUGACACCCCAUAUGAAUGUCUUUGGCACUAUUUCGUGAAGCUACAGUGCCAUAUAGGAGACCUGUCCUUUACAGUAUUCACAGUAGAAUUUUGAGAGAUGGAUUUAAUGAGCCUUAGCUUCCAUUUGGGGUAUUAUAACAGUUUGACUGUUCAAAAAACCCCCACAAAGGCCUACCAUUUGUAAAAGGAGACACUCCAGGGUAUCUUAUAAGGUGCAUAUUGUGCCUUAACAUACCCCCAUUUUUUCAUCAAUAUAUGCCAAAGUAUGUGGUAACAAAUUAUUUUGUGCAUUUUUUACAUACGGAUUGCAUUUUUUCUGGGGUUUUGUAUAUUUCAUAUGUGCCACUAAGUUCAAACCUCCCAAAUUAUGCUCAGCUAAGUCUUCUGAGUAAAAAGACACCCCCAAUGAAUGUCUUUGGCACUAUUUCGUGAAGCUACAGUGUCAUAUAGGAGACCAAGCCAUAUCCGUUUUUACCAAACUUUGAAUUUUGACGCUGGGCCUAUGUGCAAUUUCCAAGCAUCUUCGCAGGUUUUAAAUUCAAACUACCCCACAAAGGCCUACCAUUUCUUAAAGUAGACACCCCAGGGUGUUUCAAAAGGUAUAUUUUGAACCUUAGCGUGGGAUCAUUUUUCCGCUAGCUUGUACCAGAUGUAGUGGUAAUAAGCGUUUUUUCGGCCUUUUUGACAUACAAAGUGAGUUUGCACAGUAUAUUUUGCAAACCUUAUGUGUGCUUCGACUGUAUAAUACUUCAAAUGUUGCUCAGCUAUGUCAGCUGAGUACAGCAAUACCCCUGUAUGUACCUUUGCCAGGUAUGUGUGGACAUCGGAGGGGCACAUUUGGGACACAGCCAUUCCAUUUUUUUUCAAACUUUGAAUUUUUAUGCUGUGCCUAUGUCCCAUUUUAGAGUAUUUUACCAGGCUAUAUAAUCCAAAUACCCCAUAAAGCCAUACCAUUUCUUAAAGAAGACAUCCCAGGGUAUUUCAAAAGGCAUAUUUUGAACCUUAGCGUGGGAUCAUUUUUCCGCUAGUUUGUACCAAGUGUAGUGGUAAUAAGCAUUUUUUCUGCCUUUUUGACAUACAAAGUGUAUACAGCAAUACCCCUGUAUGUACCUUUGCCAGGUAUAUGUGGAUGUUGAAGGGGCGCAUUUGAGACGCAGCCAUUCAGUUUUUUUCUAACUUUGAAGUUUUACGCUGUGUCCAUGUUCCAAUUUGGAGUAGUUUAGACGGUUGGUUAUUGAAACUUCCCCACAAACCCAUACUAUUUAUUAAAGAAUACACCCUGGGGUGAUUCAAAAGGCAUAUUUUGAACCUUGGCGUGGGAUAAUUUUUUCUCUAGUUUGUUCCAGGUGUAGUGGUAAUGAGCGUUUUUAAAAUGUAUUUUUUUACUUUUUAUAACUUUUUUACUUUUAAAAACUAGUUUUUAAACUUUUGUUUUGCUUAUAAAUUUUUUUUAAACUUUCCUAAACUUUCUUAAAACUUUUUUACAGAUUUAACAUUUUUCUAAGCUUUUUUUUUACCGUUAACCCCUAACUAGCAGUACGCAGCACUAACAGUAAAUUCCCCAUUUUCCCAUAACUCCCACCCACCCCAGCUAGCAAAAUACAUAGUUAUAAAAUAUUUAAAUUAAUUAAUUAAAUAAAUUGAACCCCUGAGGGUUAAAAAAUAAAUAAAAAGUUAAUCCUCAGGGGUUAAAAAAAAUUAGAUCACAGUAUAAUACUGUGAUCUCUAUUUGAUCGCUGUAGGCAGUGAUCGACUGGCAGGGAAGGGGUUAAUUUUUAUUUGGACUAGGUAAAGGGUUUUUUUUUUUUUACUUAAACAUUAUUAAAACAUUUUUUUAAGCUUAAUUUUUAAUUUUUUAAAGUUUAUUUUAAAACUUUUUUUAACGUUAACCCCUAGUUAGCCUAACGCCAAAUCCCCCAAUUCCCCACUAACUUCCACCCACCCCAGCUAGCUAAAUAUAUAAUUUUAAAAUAUUUUAAUUAAUUAAUUAAAAAAAAUUAACCCUGAGGGUUAAAAAAAAAAAAGAAUUAACCCUCAGGGGUUAAAAAAAAAAAUCAGAUCAUAGUAAAAUGUAAUCCCUGCCAAUUGAUCACUGUAGUCAGUGAUCAAUUGGCAGGGAAGGGGUUAAUUUUUUAUUAAAAUGGGUAAGGGGGGGGGUACUUUAAAUUAACUUUAUUGUUUUAACAGCAGGGGGCAGGAUCAUCACUGAUCCGGCUCCCUGCACUUCACACAGAACCCGGAAGUGCAGGGAGCCGGUAGGUGAGUAUACAGAGCACAUGUGCUCGCUCUGACUUGCGGUCAGAGCGAGCACAUGUGCUGGGCAGCCUGACCGGGUGCUCCCGGUAUGCCUCUAAUGCAGAGGCAUACCAGAGCACCAUUAACCCCGCGAUCGCCGCGAUAGCGGCGAUCCGGGGUUAAUUUUACCGCGUGACGGACGAGGUCCGUCACUCGUCGUUAAGGGUCUCCCCUCUGUGACGGACCUCGUCCGUCACUCGUCCUUAAGGGGUUAAGGACACAACUUCUGGAAUAAAAGGGAAUCAUGACGGAAUAUUUCCUGUGUCCUUAAGGGGUUAAGCAUGCGUGGCAUAUGCAUAAGGCUAUCCUAACUAUAAGAUAAGGCCAGGGACUAAUGAAAGCAUUUUUCAAAAUUGGGCAGGCUAGAUGGGCCGAAUGGUUCUUAUCUGCCGUCACAUUCUAUGUUUCUAUGGGUAUCAGAUGAAGGUGCAAGCUGAUCCUAUCGGCCUUCUGGCACACUGUGGCAAAAAAUUACAUAUACCACAGGAUUAGCCUCCAUCUCUGCUCAUUUCUCUGCAGUGGAUUCCUGCAUUAUGCAAGAUUUUAUAACAUUCAACUAAUGUUGAUCUAUAACUAUGUUGACCAAUCUAUAUAGCGGGUAUGAUAUUUAGCCUGAUAUACAACCCCAUUGGAAAUUUACUCUAUAUAGGAUUUCUUGUAAGCAUGUUUUCUUUUUAUAGUUAGCACUACCUUGUCGUACCUAACUAAUCUUGCUACCAUAAUGUCUACUGCCAUAGCUUGUAUUACAUGCCAAAGCUUAUAUUAGAAUGUUCUCACAAAAAUAUGCUGUUUUACCAAGUGACACUACUGUUUCUUGUGACAUGCCCAUUAUCACUAUCUCUAUUGUGUUUCACAAGUCAUACUAUCUCUAACACAGUGGUCCCACAACAAAGCCUAUUUUAGAUCCUGAUUGCUUCAGAUAACUAUUAAGAGACUCACUCCUGUUUACCUACCCUGUUUUCUUUAUAAUUUACAUGUGAGGUAUUUAUUAGUUUAUUUUUGUUUGUUUUUUAAAAAAGAAAUGUGCAAAUAUCUCAUGCCAUGCAAUGUAUUUUCCUGUAAGUUAAUGCAAUGCUUGUCAACGCUAUCGUGGCACAAUAAAAAUAAAGAAAUGGAAAAAAAAAGUGUAUAUAUUAUUUGUGGGUACACUUAAAAGGAAAAGUGUUAAAUUACAGUGAAAGAAAAACAUGUAAAAAAAAUUAAAUUGAGCUGUCACAAAAUGGUUGCAUUUGGGAAAAGGCUCAUGCAUGAAAAGGUUAAACAUAAUAUCAUCAAUUAGUCCUGGAUUAUAAUAAGUCAUGGGUCUAAAUUUCAAGUGGCAUAUGAAUGCAUCUGAAACCUUGUUUUAAGAAUGUCUCUAAUAUUUAAGCAAUUUCUCGUUACCUUCUUUACAGUAUUCACCUACUUAGAAAAUGGCACAGAAAACUUCAGGGAAGAUCAUCAACAAAAGAGCAGUAAUUCCAUGGUACCAACAUUAUUACAUUUUCUGUUGUAAAACACACUGUCAUAUCCUGUUUGUAUUUUCUAUAAUGUGGAUGAAAUGUAUAUAUUUAAUACAUAAUACUUAAUUACCACCUGAAGCUUAUGUAUUACAUGUAUUCUAUUUUUUAUCAAAUAACUAAUUUAUGUAAUGUCCUACAUAUGUGGAAACUUUUUACCAAGUCAGCAUUGCCUAAAAGUAUGGGAAAUUUGCUUAUAUAUGAUAAUGCAUAAAGUAAAAUUAAUUAUGCAUAACAUUUUUGUAUUGUGUCAUGAAUAAAAGUGUAAAUUAAGGAUUGUGUAGAAAUGAAUUAAGGUACCGAAACACCCCAAAUUAUUCUUAUGUGAAAUAACAAAACAUGUAAGAAAAAAAAUUAUAAAAAGUGUUUGUUUUAUCACUAGUGAAUUAACAACCAAACUGCAAAAUAAAUGCUACAAUUUAAAAAAAAAAUUCCAGCUCAGAUAUAAUAACAGCUUGGCUAUUUUAACCUGGAUUUUAAAAUGUGUCCUACAUUUCAGCACGAUUUGGUGUUUGUAAAAUUAGCUCCUAUGUAUUAAGACAAAAUACCUCUGGAGUGAAAUCCACAGUCAUGAACCUAUCUAUAUUAAUGGAAAACUUUCCAUGGAAAACAUUUUUUUUUUUUUUGCGUGUAGUCAGGUCAGCUGGUAGAAAAUAUACCAAUUCCACUAUUAUAUAAGCAGUUAGUAGUUUCAUAGCCUAUGACUUCUGAUAUUUUACAUUAAUGCCUCAUUGCCGUCUUUUAGGAUCUUAAUGGUGGCAUUCAGUAUAAGUUUACACCUCUGGAAACUGUAUUCACAUCAAUAUAACAUCAUAUCAUGAUUUAUCCAUUGAUCCAGUCAGUGUUUUGAUUUUUGAGAAUGUUGUAGUCAGCAUUGGGUUUAACAAGAUUGAGAGUGGCAUAAUGCAUUCUGACUGAAGUACUUGCAUCCAAUGAGGAUCUCCACGGAAUCCUUUUUUAGAAUUCCGUGGAGCCAGUAUCUGUUCAGACUGCAUUGACAAGCCUUUUCCUAUGCUAGUUGCAUUUUUUUCCCACUCAUUGUUUGUACAGAAAACAAUUGCACAACCAUUGACAUUACAUUACUGUGAUGUGACAUAUCUGCCAGUCUGAAUAUCCUCUUGAGUCUUUCUACAAUCCCUACUUACCAGACUGUCUUCUUCACCAGGUUCUGGCCAUCUGUAGUCAUAUUUUUUAGUGCUGUAAAGUUUUCCGCCAUACAAUUCAAAUGCAAUAAGUAAUCAAAAUAAUUUAAAUGUUCACUUGCUUUAAUUAAAUAUGACAGCAGCAUAGCUUUUGGCUAUUACCACAAUAUUGAAUAAAUUAAUGUCAUGUUAAUGUACGUUUUAAUUAACAUUACAAGCUAAAAUGUAAGCACUUCAAUAAACUGUUAAUUGCCAUUUGUUGACAACUUAAAAAUGUCUAAAUUAACAUGGUCUUCAACAAUAACAGGAAAUAAAAUCUCUAAAAUGGAUACAGAAUAGAUACAGAAUACAUGCAGAAGGCAUGGUAGAUGGAAUCCACUAUGAAGCAUUUUCCAAUUAAUAAGAAUUUGUUUUAAUCUCAAAAGUAGUGCAUACAAAUUCUGCUGUAUAGUAAAUUACCAUAACAAAUUUCAUAACAUAUUAAUCUCAGUGAUGUAGUUAUGGCAUACUUCCCAAGUGUCCUUAUUUAGAAGGGUCAAUCCCUAUUUUGGACCCUGUCCUAAUGUCCAUCUUCUAGGAGCUCCAUAUUGUUGUUGUGUCUGAGUGUAUAACAGAUAAUCCACAAUAAUAACAAAAAUUCUUUAAACUACAAUAAAUAUGUUUAGAAAUCAGUAAAUAAGAUACAAUGUUCUUGUUCUAAAUUACAUUUUAGUUGCAUAAUUUGUUAUUAAUUGUUGUUAUUAUUAUUAAUAAAUUAAAAACUUCUCAGAACAGCCUUUCUCCUAGCCACAUCCAGGGCUGUAACAAGACAUUGUGCUGCCUGGGUCCAAGGAUUAAAUGCUGCCCCCUCACCAAAACCACAGCACAUGCAUUAUGUUAUGCAGUGUGUGCAGUGAACACAGUGUCUGUGUAGGGAAUGCAGUGUGUAUUUUAUGCAGUUUGUAUAGUGGAUGCAGAGUGUGCUUGUGUAGUGGAUGCAGUGUCUGUAUCUGUGUAGUGAAAGCAGUAUCUGAGUUUUUUAGUGGAUGCAGUGUCAGUGUAUGUGUAUGCAUUGUGUGUGUAGUGUAUACAUUGUGUGUAUAGUGUAUGCCGAGAGUGUGUUUGUAUAGUGUAUGCAGAGAAUGUGUUUGUGUAGUGGAUGCAGUGUGUGUUGUGGGUGCAGCAUUUAGCAUUUUGACCACUAAAGCAAAGAUGCAAUUUGUUGUCCCUUCCUACCCCCCACCAAAAAAAUACAUAUUUAACUGUGUUUGUCUUAACCCCCCUUUUCAGUUUCUUUUGUGUGUCUUAUCCCAUCAUUUGUAUCUUACCCCUUUUAGUGUAUCUUACCCCCCUUUUGUGUCUUAAAUUCCAUUUAGUGUAUUUUAUCUCUUCCCCCCCCCCUUUGUGUCUUAUAAACCCGGUGCAUCCCAUUAUCCCCUUUGUGUGUCAUUGUCUCUAUUCCCAGCUCUGUGUGUCACUGUCCCCAUCCAAAUCUCCUUUGUGUGGAGAUGUGCCCUUCCCCAGCCCCUCUGUGUGUAUCACAUUCAGGGCAGGACUGGGAAAAAAAUUCGGCGCGGGCAUUUUUUUUGUCACAGCGGCUCACUAAGAAGGGGGCGGGGCAGAGAGGGUAUGUUUUGUCAUCACUCAUGACAAACACGCCCCCUCUCAAAGUGAGCAUGUUGGUUCAAUGCUCUUCCAGGGCAGACCAUGCGCAGAGCUCUGCUGAAGAGCUCUAGCAUGAGAAAAAAGCCCUGUAUUUGUUCUGCACAGUGCAAGCAAAUUUAAUAACAUGCUUGCACUGUGUUUCCUUGCAACUUGUCUCUGGUGUCUCUAUAAAUGGAUAGCAGGAGACAAAAGGACCAGGAAAGAGUAUUGUGCAUGUGUUUGGAGCCUGCUUGUGGUAUUGCGUGUGUGCAGAGUGAGCUGGUCGUGGUGUGGUAUUGUGUAAUAAGGUCGGUUUUAGUCGUGUUGUGUUUGUGGUGUAAUGUAAUGCAUAUGUGGCUAGGGGCUGUAGAGAAUGUGUGUAUAGGGGAUGUAGCAAGUGUGUGCAUUUAGGCUAUAGUGUGUGUGUGUGUGUGUGUGUGUGUGUAGGUGAUGUAGUGUUUGUAGAGAGUAUGUGUUCAGGGAAUGUGUUUGCUUACAAGGAAUCUAGUGUGCGUAUAGGGGAUCCAGAGUGUGUGUGUGUGUAUGUAUGUAUGUGUAUAUAUAUAUGUCUUGUGUGUGUUUGAAGGACCCAGACUAUGUAUAGGAGAUCUAGUGAGCGUGCGUAUAUAACGGAUUCAGAGUGUAUAUAGGGAUCUAGUGUGUGUAUGUGUGUAGAUGAUCCAGAGUUGGGUAAAGGAUCUAGUGUGUGUCUGGAAUGUAAUGUGUUUAGGGGUGCAGUGUGUGUGUGUGAGGGGUGAUGUGUGUGUGUGUGUGUGUGUGUGUAUAUAUAUAUAUAUAUUAUAUAAAUAUGUUUAGAAGUAUUGUGUAUGUGUGUGAUGCAGUGUAUCGGGCGGUUGUGUGUGUAUGUGAGGGGUGCCGCAUAUGUGUGUGAUGGAUGCUGUGUAUGAGGGUGCUGUAUGUGAUUGAUUUGUGUGAGGGUGCUGUGUGUGUGGGUGCUGUGCAUGAUGUGUGUGAGUGCUGAGUGUGAUAGUGCUGUGUAUGAUGUGUGUGAGUGAGUGUGUGAUGUGUGUGAGUGCUGAGUGUGAUAGUGCUGUGUGUGAUGUGUGUGAGAGUGCUGAGAGUGCUGUGAUGUGUGAGAUUGCUGUGUAUGAUGUGUGUGUGUUUUGUGUGAUGUGUGUGAGUGCUGAGUGUGAUGUGUGUGAGUGCUGUGUGUGAGUGAUGAGAGUGCUGAGUGUGAUGUGUGUGAGAGUGCUGUGAUGUGUGAGAUUGCUGUGUAUGAUGUAUGUGAGAGUGUUUUGUGUGAUGUGUGUGAGUGCUGAGAGUGCUGAGUGUGAGAGUGCUGUGUAUGAGGUGUGUGAGAGUGCCGUGUAUAAAUGUUGUGUGUUGGGGGUAAAUAAACAAAUAAAAAAAUAAGCGGGGUUAAAUAUAGAAAUAAAAAAAACUAAGGGGGGUAAAUAAACAAUUAAAAAAAAAAAGCUAAGCAGGCAUUAAACCCCCCCCCUCCCUUCUUACCUUUAGCCUGGGAGGGGAGGGACCAGCACUCGUUCAUCAUCCCUGGUGGUCCAGUGGUGAGGGCUGAGGGCUAGAGUUCACUCUUGCGAGAUCAGGGUGUUGCCAUGGCAACGCUCCCGAUCUCGCGAGAGGAGCCCGGCGGAGCUGCAAGAUAGUUCUCCGCCAGGUCCUCUCCCUCCCUCCCCAGCCGCAGGUCUAUUUAAAUGGGCCGGUGAGGGAGAUCUUUGAUCUCCCCACCGGCCCUUCAUGGAAGACUGCGGGGCCGGCGCUCGGAUAGCGCCGGCCCUGCAUAGACCAGCAGGGGAGAUCCUGGGACCUCCCCUGCCGGCCUCGGCCCAUGGCCACUGCGGCCCACCGGCCAUUUGCCCGGUGUGCCCGAUGGCCAGUCCGGGCCUGAUCACAUUUGCCCUCUUUUCAGCCCCUCUCUGUGUCUCUGUCUCCUUCCCCUGGUCCUUUUCUGUUCCCUUCUCUCUCUUUCCUCCUUGCAUGCCUACUUACCUCCCUUCUUGUCUAGUGGCCAAGAUGACCUCAGUAAAGGAUCUUCUGUUUCCUCUAGUAGGACUGACAGGAAGCUGUUCACUGCUCUCACUGAGCACUUUUUAGACCAGGUUGAGGAUAAAGAUCUGCUUGUUCACGCUACAUGAAGUGUUUGACGGAGGGGGAGUGCUCUCCUCCUACCGAUCACCUGGACCCUUGAUGUUGUGCCCCUUAGACGGGUGCACCUUAAGGUGGCUACAUGUGCCACCUUAUGGUAAUGCUGGCCCUGAGUGGAUGUAUUGUCUGUGUUUUUUUAGUGGACGAAGUGUCUUUUUUUAGUGGACGAAGUGUCUUUGUUUAGUGGAUGCGUUGUCGAUUAAGUGGAUACAGUGUGUGUAGUGGAUGCAAGUGUGUUCACACUGCAUGUAGUGUGUAGUAUGCCGGGAUGUUGCCAUGGCAACACACAUAUAUAUUGUGACAGACCCAUCUGUAUUAACUAGAAUUGCUGUGUUCGUCUGUUUUGCCAUUUGCAUGAAUUGCCCCAUUCGUAAGGGAAUGUAUUUUUUUUGUCGAACGGAACUACCGAACGGACGGCCACCCAGAAGAGAAGUGUGCUGCUGGUUAACCUAUUGAUCCCAAUUAGAACGUUGCAGUUAACCACAGACACUUCUCAAUUAAAACCGAAUACAGGGUGGUCGUCGUUCGUAUGUCGACCACGAGGCGGCGGCCAUUUUAACUAUGCGAAAGCCCAGCGGUGUUCGACGGUUAUUCCAUGGAACUAAAAACGGACACUUUUUCAACCAAGCACCGCUGAAGCCUUCGACCUCCCCUUCUCAAUCGACAAAAAUAUACGAAUACCGGCCGUUCGAGAGAUUUAAAGGCAUGAAUGGACUUACCCCAGAUAGCCUUCCCAUGGAGUCAAUCGCGUACCGAAGAACUGUAACAGACUUUGACUCCAUGGCAAUUGAACUAUGUGUGUGGGAUAUGAGCGCUAUUCGCCAAUAAUAUGCACUCAGAUCCAGGCUAUCUGGGGAUGUGUUAUACGAAUGCAAUACGUUCAACAGUUAUAAAGUUAUGUAUUUUAAUGUGUUUUGUAACUUGUAUUUAAAAUGGCGAUUUGCCUCUGCUCUGGGAGAUAAUUUAAUUACUUCUCAAUUAUCUCCCGAGCAGAGGGAGGAAACUGUGUUGCAUGCUGGGAAUAUUGUGGGGAUGUAUGUCUGAAAUGUCCCCAUGUUAUUCCAGUCUCCCAUUUGGUCCCCUAGGGGAGUGUCCACCAAGUGGGAGACCUGCAUAAAUACGGGCAGGUAGCCCACAGUAAACUCAGUUCGUGUUUUACCCUCAAAGCGGAGCUUGGUCUCGUUAUUGGGGGGAUUUUAUUACCGGCGACUAGAGACUGCUUAUUGGGAUAAUUUGCCGCUUGGAAACUAUUGCCGUUCGACUGCUAUUGGCGAUUCGUGCAUUUGGAGCUCGUGAAGGGAAAGAGCCGUACAGGUACCGUUCGGGAGUUUGGAGAGUUCCCUGGCUGGCAGUUCGCAUGGUUGUACUGCAUACGCUACCAGACCACAUUAUUGCGAACGGGGAGCAUUCACUAAACGGCGGUUUGUGCAUUUAUUACUGGAGGUACCGUAACAUACAUAUAUAUAUAUAUAUAUACACACACACACAUACACACACACACAUAUACACGGAACAAAAUUAUAAACGCAACACUUUUGUUUUUGCCCCCAUUUUUCAUGAGCUGAACUCAAAGAUCUAAGACUUUUUCUACGUACAUAAAAGGCCUAUUUCUCUUGAAUAUUCAUAAAUCUGUGUUAGUGAGCACUUCUCCUUUGCCGAGACAAUCCAUCCACCUCAUAGGUGUGGCAUAUCAAGAUGCUGAUUAGACAGCAUGAUUAUUGCACAGGUGUGCCUUAGACUGGCCACAGUAAAAGGCCACUCUAUAACAUGUGCAGUUUUACUGUAUUGGGAGGGUCCAGGGGGGUCCAAAAACCAGUCAGUAUCUGGUGUGAACACCAUUUGACUCACGCAGUGCAACACAUCGCCUUCUCCUAGGUCUUUGAUAUCAGCUCAUAAAAAAUGGGGGCAAAAACAAAAAGUGUAGCGUUUAUAAUUUAGUUCCAACAUAUACUGAACAAAAUUAUAAAGCCUGGCACAUUGAAAGAAAUGCUUUUGACAAGUAGCAAUUAGUUAUUUCUUUCAAUGGGAACUGACGUUAGUGCUGGGGAUGGAGAAAAAGACAGAGGGGCUGAGCAGAUAGCACUGUGAAGAGCAUUAUACGUCCAAAAAUUAUUUAGCCUCAUAACCCAUAGUUCCCAACAUUUCAAAUGCACAACGAUAAACACUUUAAUUUUAGGGUGUGACCAGGGCUGGCCCGUCCAUAUGUCCCGGUGGGGCCAUGGAUCUAGAUGGCUUUUAUUCAGACAAACUUCCCCCCCGGUCUUCACAGUGGUCCAACUCCUGAAACUGUAGCGUGGCGGCUAGGAGUAUUGCGACUCCUGCUUUCUUAGUUGUCGGAUUGUUGUGGAAUAUUUAGCGUGAUACAAUCUAUUCUAUAGCCUCAGAGCCAUACUCCUGAGUAAGUGAGUCUCUUGCAAGAAGGCUAUGGAUGCACCAUGUGUUCGGAGUUCCCUCAGCACAUGUGUUCUGCAUUCCAGGGCGUUAAGUCCCCUGCAGUUAAGGGUGAGGACAGCAAAGGGUGCCGGUCGGAAUGCCAUCGGCCCGGAUGAGUGUGACCGCCCAUGAGGCGCACAGGAGUGUGGUCCGCAGAGGAACAGCAGCCAUUAUAUGUGUGAAAGGUGGUUAUAAGAGGAAAGGGUGGGGGAGAUAGUGGUGUAUGGCGUGUGGGUCUCCCAGGUGCGCCCCACCCCUCUGUCCGUAGGUGGGGGUUGGCCGGGAAAGCUCUGGUAAGGGAAAUGAGAAAGGAAGAAAUGAUAGAUAAGUGGGAGAAGAGAGAGAGCAAGUAUCUAAGCCCUAAGGAAGCCCCUGGAUAGUAGAGUGAUACUCCCUAGGGCCCUCAAUACCCCACCACCCAUGAUAGGCACAUGAGCGAGUGUGGGAAACGUUGCACAAUCACCACCAUCAGGCCACAGUAACCUUACGUUUAAGUUAUUAAAUAUGUCACUUGCUCGUCUCAAAGCCCAAAUAUAACAGAAAAAUAACAGUGCUAAACAUAUGUACACAUUAACUGUAUAAGUUGUAUGAAACAUACAUCUGAACUUCCAGACUCUAGCAUAAAAACAGACAAUGCAUCCCCAUAUCUGCCAUCAUUCCCAGGUUAGACUUCCGCUAUCCAAUGUCAUUAUGGAGAAUGUUGGGGACACCUCUGACCCUCUCCUAGCCCAAUGGCUGCCGCCUAGGUUCAUGCGAUCUGCUACUCCCUCUCCCCCAGGUCCAAAAGGAAAAAGCCUAUCCCCAGUGGGCAGUACAUGAGCUGACUUCCCCUCUUUACGGAUGACAGUUAACUAUUAAUAUAUCCCAUCUCGUAGUAGCAGCCUCCAUCCCCCCCAACCCCUCCUCCCCCCUCCUCAUUUCUAUACAUGGUCUGUCCCCCCUCCCUCUCCAUCUCUCCAUAAAUGUCCCUAACUUUCCCUCCUUUCACAUGUAACUCGGGCCUCAUGUCCCUGCUGGAGCUGUUGAGUGGCGCUGUCUCUCCCAUUCCCCCACCUCCUCUUCCCCCAUGGCCUGCGUUCAGGGCUGUCGUCCUUCCCUCCACCCCAGACCUGUCCCUCAUGGCUCUAUUGUAGCUCUGAUCCAUCCAUAUGUCUGGUCAUCAGAUACCCAGCAGAUACAAUCAUUUUGGACUUUCUUAGUAACUUAUGUCUUCCAUCCCCCAUAUUAAAUUUGUAACUCACCUUUUUAAAACUGGUGCCAAAACGUACACUUUAUAUUCAAGGUGGGAUGUUACCAUUAAUUUAUAAAAAGGCAAAAUGAUAUUUGAUAACGUGAAUUGUACAAUCAUUUGCAAUGACAGACAGGCAUAGUAUACUGUUGCCUAGUUUAUCUAUAAUUGUUCACAAGUCCUUUUCAUUUAAAGGACCACUAUAGUGCCAGGAAAACAUACUCGUUUUCCUGGCACUAUAGUGCCCUGAGGUGCCCCCACCCUCAGGGACCCUCUCCCGCCCGGCUCUGGAAAGGGGAAAGGGGCUUAAACUUACCUUUUUCCAGCGCUGGGCGGAGAGCUCUCCUCCUUCUCUCUUCCUCCGUUCCGCCCCGUCGGCUGAAGGUGCACACGCGCCAAGAGCUGCGCGCGCAUUCAGCCGGUUGCAUAGGAAAGCAUUUACAAUGCCUAUUGUAAAUCACAGUGAGAAGCACGCAAGCGCCUCUAGUGGCUGUCAAUGAGACAGCCACUAGAGGAUUAGGGGGAAGGCUUAACCCAUUAAUAAACAUAGCAGUUCCUCUGAAACUGCUAUGUUUAUUAAAAAAUGGGUUAACCCUAGCUGGACCUGGCACCCAGACCACUUCAUUAAGCUGAAGUGGUCUGGGUGCCUAGAGUGGUCCUUUAAUGUUAUCCCUACCUCAACCCCAUUUAAUGAAUAAGUGGCUUGUGGGUUCUUUAUUCCAAAAGACAUUACUUUGCAUGUAUCAGUAUUGAAUCUCAUCUGCCACUUGCAUGUCCAGCCCCCAUUUUAUCAAAAUUCCUCUGUAGAGAAGUUAUAUCAUGUUCAGACUGUAUUUUUUUUUUACCUAGUUUUGUGUCAUCUGCAAACACAGACAAAUUACUUCUAAUGGUAGAUAGUCCAGUAAAGUAUUGCUAGGGUGCCAGUAUUGCUAGGAUACUUGAUAGAGUUCCUCUGUGGAUGCGUCUGGUGUAGACCGUUCUGUAUAUGUAAAUACAAGAGAGGUAGAGGCGACUAAUGGUAUAGUAUGAAAGUUCAGGGUGUGAUAGGUAACAAAAAGUAAAGAACUCACAUUCAGGAGAGCUAUGGCCAGCUCUGGUGUGGAUUGCGUACAGCGGUAUAAUCCCCGCUAUGGGAUAUGUAGGGAGGGGUCUCCGUCAGCACCGUCUGGUAGUCCAGAGCUCGAAAAAGAAAGACAGAAAGCAACAAUAGUGCUCUCAAUUUUGAUGUUGUUCAAUGUGCAGAUAAGAAGAGGUAAAAAACUCACAUUUGAGGGAGCUAUUGCCAGCUCUGGUGUGGAUAGCGUACAGCGGUAUAAUCCCCGCUUAUAGGAUAUGUAGCGGCGAUACGUCCGUCAGCACCGUCUGGUGAUCCAAGGCUCCAAUAUAGAAGAAUAAAAAGCAGCAAUAGUGCUCUCAAUUGUGAUAGGUUAAGAGAGUAGUAGAGAAAAUAAAAUAAUACUCACAAAGAUAGAGCAGAGGUACUGCUCUAUGGAUAGGCGCCGGUGGUAUGAUCCCCACCUAGGAUUUCUUGGAGUACUGGAACUUUAAAAUUGCCAAUGGAAGUAAAAGUAACCAGGAAAGGUUAAAAUGCCAGGAAUAGGUAAAAACAAAAGUUGUUUAAAGUGCAUAAAGAGUGCAAUAAAAAGAGGAUUGGUACAAUAAAGUAGCCAAAAAACUUUUAUUGAUCUAAAAUACACAGUAAAAUACAGAAUUAAUAACCAUAAACGCGUUUCACCAUAAGUGGCUUCUUCAGAAUGAUCCCAUUCUGAAGAAGCCACUUAUGGUGAAACGCGUUUAUGAUCCCAUUCUGAAGAAGCCACUUAUGGUGAAACGCGUUUAUGGUUAUUAAUUCUGUAUUUUACUGUUUAUUUUAGAUCAAUAAAAGUUUUUUGGCUACUUUAUUGUACCAAUCCUCUUUUUAUUGCACUCUUUAUGCACUUUAAACAACUUUUGUUUUUACCUAUUCCUGGCAUUUUAACCUUUCCUGGUUACUGUUACAAACUGCCAUUUGUAACUGUUAUUUUAUUUGACAAAUUGCCCUGCUUCCCUGUGCUAUGGAGAAGCCUAAUUGCCAGCCUUCUGCCCCAUGACUAUGGACCUAGUGUGUAUGGCGAUUUGACUGUAUUUGUGGGAUCUGAGCGCUGUUUGGAUAUAUUGAGCGCUCAGAUCCAAGCCAUCUGGGGAUAGGUUGAAUGUGGGGGUUCUGUUCAGUUGAUAGGAGUUAUGCAUUUUUGUGUCUUUUUGUGUCUUUUGCUAACAUGUGGUUAAUGGAGUCUGCCUCUAUCCCUGGAUAAUUGGAUUACUUUCCCCAUUGUCCAGGAUAGAGGGCUCUGUAAAUCCGGUUUGGGCCAGAAAACCAUGCUGCCAACUAGGCCCCAAAAGAUACUUUUGCUAACUUUUGAACCCCUUGUCUGAUUUGUGCCAGUUUUUAAUAUGUUGCUCCCCUGAAUGGAUUGAUUCUAAAUAUGUAUUUUUAUGAAGAGUGGAUGUGUAGUUUGGAAGUUAUAGUACAUGUAUAAAAACUGUAUUUUUACUGUUCUGUUUUAAUUAUGUUAUGUGUUUAUCUGAGGGAUGGGAAUUUCCCCGAAUGUAUAUUGUUCCGAUUGGUUAUACUGCUAAUUAUGUGGGUGUCUCCCUUGCAUGGGCAGAAUCUCAUAAAAGCAGAGUGUGUGCCAUUAAACAUCAGAUCUUCUUGACCCUCUAACUUGCAGCCUUGACUCAUGUUUGUAGGGGACAGCUAUAAUCACUACAGGGAUUGCUAUGCUCUUCAUACUCCCUUAGCUACUGAGCUCUUGUAAGAGCUCUUGUUCCUGAUCCUGCUUCGCUCUGCAGAAGGAAGAGGUUCACCUACUGCAAUCUGGAGCCUGGUCGUGGGUUCAGGGCACAGAGCAGACGGCGAGAUACCAGCCCAGCAGUGGUGGUUCGUGGAGUCUCAGUACUUCUGGUGGCUACACAGUAGUUAUGGUGUCUACGGUGCUGAUGGUCCUUUGGUGAGCGCUAGGAGCAUCCUUUCUACGGUCCAACUUCCAGCCAGCCUGGAGGCAACCGUAACAGUUACUUUUACUUCCAUUGGCAAUUUUAAAGUUCCAGUACUCCAAGAAAUCCUAGGUGGGGAUCAUACCACCGGCGCCUAUCCAUAGAGCAGUACCUCUGCUCUAUCUUUGUGAGUAUUAUUUUAUUUUCUCUACUACUCUCUUAACCUAUCACAAUUGAGAGCACUAUUGCUGCUUUUUAUUCUUCUAUAUUGGAGCCUUGGAUCACCAGACGGUGCUGACGGACGUAUCGCCGCUACAUAUCCUAUAAGCGGGGAUUAUACCGCUGUACGCUAUCCACACCAGAGCUGGCCAUAGCUCCCUCAAAUGUGAGUUUUUUACCUCUUCUUAUCUGCACAUUGAACCACAUCAAAAUUGAGAGCACUAUUGUUGCUUUCUGUCUUUCUUUUUCGAGCUCUGGACUACCAGACGGUGCUGACGGAGACCCCUCCCUACAUAUCCCAUAAGCGGGGAUUAUACCGCUGUACGCAAUCCACACCAGAGCUGGCCAUAGCUCUCCUGAAUGUGAGUUCUUUACUUUUUGUUACCUAUCACACCCUGAACUUUCAUACUAUACCAUUAGUCGCCUCUACCUCUCUUGUAUUUACAUAUACAGAACGGUCUACACCAGACGCAUCCACAGAGGAACUCUAUCAAGUAUCCUAGACCAUCUAUUGGCACCCUAGCAAUACUUUACUGGACUAUCUACCCUUAUUUGGCGCAGCCCUUCCAUAUCUUUUUGUAUCUAUCCACCGAAGGACCCGAGGGGUUUUCCUUCAUUUGGGUUGCUGCCUACCUUGACUAAUUUUGUGAUUACUAGCGCUGAAUUCUUUUUGUGUUUAAAUUACUUCUAAUGCCCACUUCAAGAUAAUUUAUAAACAGAUUAAAAAGAAGUGGACCUAGGACAGAACACUGAGGCACUCUACUUUACACUUUUGUCCAAUUUGAAAAUUGCUGAGUUUGAAAAAAAAUCAGUCAGCAGUCAGGAAUGCUUCCUGGUUGAUCUAACAUUUGAAAUUCACUCUCAAUUCACUAUUAGUUCUAGACAUUUCUCACUUUGGUAAAAAACCUGGAAUGUUUUUAUAUGCAAGGCUGAAGGGGUAGUGUCUGUGCCCCAAAAUUACUUUAUUAUGGAAUGAGAAAAAAAUGGUAAAAAAUAAGACAGCUAAUGCAUUUCUACAAUUAUUAAUCACUAUGUAUAUGAAGUUGAGUUGAUCAUUCUAUGCACAGAUGCUAUAGAUUCUGUAGUUAUAAUUCAAAACUCCUGCCUCGAAUAGUGUUCUGUUUCUCUAAACAUAAAAUACAACACAUCUGCAAAUUUUAAAGGUAAUUUUUUUUGUUCAAUGGUAUUUUAUACACUAUAUGGACAAAAGUAUUGGGACACACCUCUUAAUUAUUGAAUUUAAGUAUUUCAGACCCAUUGCCAUAGGUGUAUAAAAUCAAGCAUGUGGCCAUUCAGUCUUCAUUUACAAACACUUGUGAAAAAAAUGGGUCGAACUUAAGAGCUCAGUGAAUUUAGGUGUGUUAUUGUGAUAGGAUGCCACCUUUGCAAUAAAUCAGUCUGUGAAAUGUCAUUCUUGCUAGAUAUUCCACGGUCAACUGUAAGUGGUAUUAUUGGAAAGUGGAAGUGUAGAAACAGCAGCAACUCAGCCACAAAGCGCAAAACCACGUUAUGUAACAGAGCGGGUUCACUAAGUACUGAGUGGCACGGUUCAUAAAAGUAACAAAUGCUCUGCUGAUGUCAUAGCUGAAGAGGUCCAAACUUCCACUGGCAUUAUUAUCAGGACAAAAAUCUUGUGGCAGGAGCUUCAUGGAGGAGGUUUCUAUGGCUGAGCAGCUAUACGCUCACAUCACUUAGUACAAUGGCAUGCAUCAGAUCAACUGUACUCUGGAGCAGUCUGUGGUGCAGUAACGAAUCACGUUUCUCUGUUUGGCAGUCUGAUGGGCGGAUGCCAAAAGAAUGCCAACUUGUAUUGUGUCAACUGUAAAGCUUGGUAGAGAUUGGAAAAUUAUAUGGGGUUGUCUUUUUAGGGCUUGGGCUAGGCCCCUUACUUCCAAUGAAGAGAAAUCUCUUUGGGCAACGCUAUGCUUCCAGCUUUGUGGGAACAGUUUGGGGAAGUCCCUUUUCCAUUCCAGCAUGACUGUGUCCCAGUGCACAAAGAGAUAGGUGGAUGAGUUUGGUGUGGGUGAACUUGACUGGCCUGCACAGACCUCUGGCUUCAACCCUAUCAAACGCCUUUGGGAUGAAUUGGAAUUCAGCAUCUGUACCUGAUCAUACAAAUGCCCUACUGAAUAAAUAGGAAAACAUUCCUAAGGAAUUCUUGUGGAAAGCCUUCCCAGAAGAGUGAAAGCUGUUAUAGCUGCAAAGGGGGGACCAGCCAUAUAUUAAAGCCUAUGUAUUUAAGAUGCAAUGUCAUAAAAGUCCUUGCUGGAGUAAUGGUGAGGUGUCACAAUUCUUUAGUCCAUAUAGUGUAUGUGCACAUAUAAUUUGUCAUUUAAAUACUAGCUAAUAUAGUUUAUUGUGUUUUCUUUGCUCCUCCAGGUACCACAAUACCAGGACCCUGCGGAUAUUUUUGUAGCUUUAUAUAAAUUUAUACCACAAGAAAAUGAAGAUUUAGCUAUGAGGUAACAUUUCCUUUAACAAGUGGUUUGGUGCUCAAGGGGAAUAGGAGUAGGAACCAAUGCACUGCCUGGAGUUUUUGUAGUAACCAUGGCAAUGACCCAGCAAAACAUUAUACAGAAAUAAUGGGCAAGUCCCAGCAUACUUACUAUUUAUAGCAUUGUCAAAAGAUAUACAAAAUGUAAAAAUGAAAAGGAAAACAAAAAUAAUAAAACAAAUUAUACAAAUACAGCCAGGAACACUUAAAGUAACUCCUAGAAGAAACAAAAUGGUACAAACAUAAUUGUAUUACAUAGUAAUCAGGUCACGUGACCCCUAUAGUAUAAAACUGAUAUCCUUUAUGGCCACUUGUUUUCUUUUUGUUUUACAUUAUAUUUCCUAUUGCUGUUUUACUAAUAUGAUUGGUCUCGAUUUACAAUAUUGAUUACUUAUUAUUAUUGACCAAUUACUACUGCAACUUAAAAAAAAGUAGGACUGCACAAUAGACUGUAAUUGUUAUGGUGCAUGGAGUGUUCAUUUAAUGGCAUCUUGGGUAUUGUCACCUUUUCGUUGUAAAAUUUAGAGCACAGUUUGUUCAAUACAUCUGCAGUGCUUUGUCUCUUUGAUUUAAAUAUCCUGGCUUCAUUAGGCCUUGCAGGUGCAGAUGAAUGAUCUGUUGCAUAACCGCAAAUAAAUUUUGCCACCUAGGAUAUUUUGCACAGCUUAUUAUUGGUCCAAACAUUACAAGCAUGACAGCUAAGCAGACUUACAAAGAGUCACUGUUGAAAGCUAAUUUAACAUUUGCCAGCUGAGGACUUUCACUGCUUUGCACCCUCAGACUAUGAAAGAAAAAUGUCAAAGGAAAUCCUUCCCUGACACUGUGUUUAGAAUAUACAGAAUAUUUAAUAAAUUAUGCCAAAGUAGAUUAAUGUAGCAAUUAGUAUUGUAUUGAAAAAAAGGAUUGUGAAAGUGGCAUAAAAAUUACUUUACAUAGAGCAUCUGUGAAAGAACUCAAAUGGCAUGCAUAAAAUCCUGUUGGAAGAAAUCGACUUUUAUUUAGCAGUAAAACGUCAUUUGUGUCUCAUUUUAUUGUAGGCCGGGUGAUAAAAUAAUUGUUCUGGAUGAUUCAAAUGAGGAUUGGUGGAAGGUAUGUAUUAAAAAAUACUAAUAUUUAACAAUAUAAAUGAACAAUUGUCUUAUACGAGUACAUCACUUAUCAAAAACAAAGCUUAGAUGACGUUUAGCUGCUCUUUAGAGAGAAGCCCUAAAAAAAUAAGUUUAGCUUAAUGUGGUUUUGGUGGUGUACAUAUCAUGCCCACAGUCUCAGUGCUCAAUUAUCUGCUAUUAGUUAAAGGACCUCCAAAGUCACACACACCACUUAAUCGCAAUGAAGUGGUUUAGGUGUAGUGGUCAUGUUAUUUCAUCCAUGCAAUAUAAAACAUUGGAGCUUUUGAGAACCUGUAAUUCCUACAUUGCAGGGUUAAUCCCACCUUUUGACAGCCACACUACUGGUACUUAUACUGUACUGACCAAGUAAAACUUGAUCACGUGACACAACAGUUCAUAGGAAAGCAUUGAAUACAAUGCUUUUCUAUAAGAAAAAUUGGAUUGGACUAUUGCCAGAGAAGGCCAUGCUUCUAUGAUUGCGUUGCAGGAAGUGGAGAGGUGAAUAGCGCCAGAGUCUUGGCACUGAAAUAAGGUGAGUAAAAAGCUUUUUUUAAUUCCAAUGGAGGGACAGUUGGAUAUUACUAGAGACAGGUUUGUAUUUCUAAUGCUAUUGUGUUCCUUUAAAUAACUUUACAUCAACUUUGACACCAUCCCCCCUGGUAGGCAUGUGCAUGGGGAAAAUAUUCGGCUCGGCAUUCCGAAAUUCGGGACUUCGGCACUUCGACGCUUCAGAACUUCAGCAACUUCGGAAUUUCUGCACUUCGGCAACUUCGGAACUUCAGAACUCCGGCAUUUCAGGACUUUUCUUGCAGCCGCUUGGUAGAUAACUGCCUAAUUCCCACGGUAUUAGGGAGUUAUCUACCAAAAGGCUGAAAGACCUAAAUUGGUCUUUCAGACAAAUUUACUAAUACUAAGUAAAAAUUACUAUUAGUAAAUUGUGCCCCUACUCGCUAUACCGUGAGUAGGGGUAUGUCUAUUAAACAGUAGAAAAAAAAGGGUCCCCCCUCCCAGAGCGCCGGGUGGGGGCCCUAAAGUAAAAAAAGGGGGGAGGACCUAUUGUCCUCCCCACUGGCCCCCAUCCUUGAGGGCCCUAAAUUAAAAUUGGGGGGGGUGCAACCUAAUGUCUUCCCCCCCUGGCCCCCACCCUUGAGCAGCGGGUGGGGGCCCUAAAUACAAAUUGGGGGGGAGACCUAAUGUGGGGUGGGGGUUCUAAACAAGAAUAAAGAGGGGACCAAAUGUCCUCCCCCCCUGGCCCCCAAUUUGUAUUUAGGGCCCCCACCCACCGCUCAUGGGUGGAGGCUAGGGGGGAGGACAUUAGGUCCCCCCUUAUUCUAGUUUAGGGCCCCACCCACCGCUCAGGGGUGGGGACCAGGGGGAGGAGAUUAGGUCCCCCCCAAUUUGUAUUUAGGGCCCCCACCCACCCCUCAGGGGUUGGGGCCGGUGGGGAGGACAAUAGGUCCUCCCCCCUUUUUUUACUUUAAGGCCCCCACCCGCCGCUCAGGGGUGGUGGCCGGGGGGGGGAAAUAGGUCACGUCGCGGGUGGGGGCUCAGGAGGGGGACCUUUUUUUUACAGUGAGCAUAGGCUGCUCACUGUUUAAUAGACAUGCCCCUACUCGCGGUAUAGCGAGCAGGGGCAUAAUUUACUAAUACUAAGUAAUCUUUACUUAGUAUUAGUAAAUUUGGCUUAAAGACCAAUUUAGGUCUUUCAGCCUUUUAGUCAGGGCCAGAUUAAGAGCCCAGUGGGCCUGGUGCUGACAAUUAUGAUGGGGCCUAAUUACAGAAAUGUCACGGCCCCCGGCUCGCCGCGAGGUGCGGUCGCACGGGACCAGUGCGACCGCGCCAACGAACUGAGCUUACCUGCUCAGCAGCGAGUCGGGAGCUGCUCUGCCGGGUUCUCCCGGCUGCCUGCCCAGGUUCAAGAUGGUGCCGAACACACGGUCGCAGCUAGAUAUAGCUCUGCCCCCCAGGGUCACACACACACACAUGUUCUGCAGUCAGAGUGAUAUUUAACCUAGGUUAUUGCCCUAUUGUGGUUUUCGUUCCUGGUUCCUGAAUCCUGAGAGUGCGUUUCCUUGUCCUGUUUUUGAUAUUCCCAGUAUUUUGACCUUGGCUAUUCCUGACUAUUCUGAUUCCUGACUUGGCUUGUUAAAUGGUAUUGUAUAUUUCUGGCUCCCUUGACCAUUCUCUGUUUUUAAAGUAUUAGUCAGGCCAUUCUAAGGACCGGUUUACGUUUUAUAAUUUUCUGUUCAGUUUAUGUAGAUGUUACAUAGUUCUGUGUGCUGGACCACACUAGCAGUCAUGACACGAAUCUUAGUCAUACCUCUCAAGCGUCAAGUAUCUAAUGGAGAUGGUGUUGGAGGGAAACUCAAAGGAUGCAGCUUUAAGAAAACACAUACUCUAUGCUAAUCUCUCUCUAAUUUAUGCUUUAAUCUUUCAAGUAAAUCCAUACCCCCUAACAGCAGUGUCCAGUGAAGCAGGAAGUCAAUGGGGACACUGGGAGAAAUGGGGACACAGACACUAGGGACACAGAGACACAGACACUGGAAGACAUGGGGACACUAAGACACUAGGGACACUGGCUGGGAGGCAUGGAGACACAGGCAUGGAGACACUUGGGGACACUGGGAGACAUGGGGACACUAGGGACACUGAGAGACAUGGGACACAGACACUGGGAGACAUGGGGACACAGACACUAGAGACACUGGUUGGGAGACAUAGGGACACUGAGACACUAGGGGGACUGGCUGGGAGACAUGUGGACACUGGGAGACAUGGGGACAUGGGGGCACUGAGACACUAGGGACACUGAGAGACAUGGGGACAUAGACAUUGGGAGACUAGGGGACACUGGGAGACUAGGGGACACUGAGACAAUAGGGACACUGGCUUGGAGGCAUGGGGACACUGUGUCCCACGUGUCUCUGUGUCUCAGUGUGUCUCCCAAUGUCCCCAUGUGUCUCAACAUCCCCAUAUCUCACAGUGUCCCCUAGUUUUCAGUGUCCCCAUGUCUCCCUGCUGCCUUUCCCCCCCCCCAUCUUUCACUUACCUGAGCUGCAGGCUGUUUCUGUAGGCUGGGAGCUGCUGUCUGGCCUCUCUGUGCUGUGUAGCUGCUCCCCUGCGGAUCAGUGAAUAGAGAGAGGCAGGGAGUGAUAUGCUGUAACUUCCUAUCCCUGCCUCUCUCCACACACAGUGACCCCACUGGUUAGUGCUGGUAUUGCAGAGUAAUCUCCGUUUAUACUGAGAAAAAUACCUGCAUUUGUAUUGCCGGUAUUACUGCAAUACCGGCAUGGCCAGGCAGCCUCAAAUACCGGCUGUGCUGGUAAAACACCAGUCAGGUGGCAAACCUAACAGUAGUGUGUGUAAAAAAAAAAGUAAAGAAUUUUUUUUUUUUUAAAUGGGCCUAUUCCAUGGGCCUGGGCCUGGAGCUGCAGCUCCAUCAGCCCCUAUGUUAAUCCGGCCCUGCUUUUAGUAGAUCGCUCCCUAAUACCGUGGGAAUUAGGGAGUUAUCUACUUAUUCAUUCCUGUCAUUUCAUGACUGGUAACUUACAUUUUAUAUGAAUGUAUGUUACUUGAUUGUUGUAAGUGUUGCAAAUGCUUACAGCUGAAUCCUGGCUAUGUUUGUAUACUUUUUAUUUGAAAUUAUAUACAGUAUAACAUUCUUCUUCUUUCACUGGGUAAGUAUAUUAGUACUUAAGCAAUACUGUGCUUCAGAACUUCGGUAAUUUCGGGACUUCGGCAAUUCAGCUAUUCGGACAUUCAGAAGCACCAGAAUGUCCGAAUUACCCAAAAUUUGGCCAAAUUUUAAUUCGGACCGAAAUGAAUUGCACAUGUCUACCCCUGGCUGUGUCUGUUGAUGCUUAGUGUAUCCAUUUAACCUGCUAGCAUAUUUGGGGGGAAUUCAAAGUAUCAUUGCCAACAAAGUCAAGCUCCAUCAAAGGGCCUUCACUAAUUACAUGUAGUAAAAAUAUCACUAUAAUUUUUAGAUUUCAAAACCCAGUAAAAAAAAAAAAGAAACAAAUAAAAAGUGGUGUAGUGAUCAGUGAGCAGUGCCCCAAACUAUGGAAGACACAAGAAAGAGGGGGUUGUAAUCAGCACUCACUAUCAAAAAUUAUACAAUCAGUACUGAUUAAAUCUGGUUUGUUUUAAAACAAUAAAUUUGACCUGGUAGAGAGAAUGUGAGAUGAGUCAGUAUUAACCUAAAGUGAGUUUAAUAUUGUGUCAAUCUGAGGACACAGUAUCUAAUUACUGUCCAGGUUCUAAGACCUCGGUACAGGGUUUAUUAAAACCAAGUAUAGUUUUAGCUAAUUUUGACAGUUUAACCAUAGGUACUGAUUGAAUAUUAUAAAUAAGAAAUAAAAAAGGAUACAGAGGCGCUAUUGAUUAUAGACACUGGUGCAGCUAAAACUACCCAAGUGUAGUGUCACCAAAUACACUUACAAAAAUAAUAGGAUAAAGAGAAAGAGGGUGAUUAGCACACACAAAAUUAAGUUGAUAUUACCUUACAUAUACAGUAUCUCAGGUAAUCACACAACAGAUUAUUCUUGUAACCUAUACACGUCCCCCUUCUCUGACGCGACUUCCUACAUAGGGGAGCCCCACCAGUUUCAAAGUGCAUGGUUAUUUUGAAGCUUCCUAUAUUUUCUGACCGGUUACAAACAAUUCUCUCGCUAAACUUCUCUACACGUGUACUGAACAUGGACUGUUAAACCGCUGAUCUCCAUUCUGCUUCCCUUGACCUCAGACUACCUGUGAUAUAGUUCCUACUUUCUCUAGUCGGAUUACAUUACUGGAAAACCUUCCAAGAAAACGGCAAGUUAUAUAAAUUGGAAUGUAUCAUUCUUCUGGCAUAUCAAUACUAGUGCAAAUCUAUUUCCUCGUCUCCUGAGUUCAACUAAUGAAAUAUCUAAUCUUUGAUAUUCCAUCUAUAAACCAUCUGCAGCAACCACUCUGCUUAAUUGUUUCAUCUUCUACCUUCAAAUCGUAUUCCUUAAAGCUACUGGAACUCUUCUCACAAACUAUCCUCAUAUUUUAUUCCUUAAAGCUACAGGAACUCUUCUCAACAAACUAUCUUCAUAUUGUAUUCCUUAACGCUACAGGAACUAUCUUCGGCAAUCCACAUUCAAAUCAAAUCCCUUUAUUAGGAAUUGUUCUAUUUAAAUUCUAAUUCUUAUUCUGAUUAUCCUCUAAGGUUAGUCCUAUUAUCAAUUUCUGCAGUUGAGUUUCACUCCAAAUCCAUAGGUAGCAUAACAGCCAUAAUUUAGUUGCUUUUUAACAUGAAUAUAUUUUUGCAGCUCUUCACUUUAAAAAGAAAGAUGCUCAUACAGAUUAAAUGAUGGUAAGAUGAAUCUAUUUAUGGAGAAUAGCUUCCUCCUUGAAGCCAUUCAGGUGAAGUCCUAAUAGACAAAAUGAUUUCACUUGGGAUUAGAGGAGAAAAUUAUUCAUUUUCUGCUGGAAAUGUGGUGUCUGUAACUACAAGUUAAUAAUGGAAUGUAUUACUGUGGGGAUAUCUCAUGAUAGAAGCUCUCAAUUUAAAAAAAAUAAUUUUUCAGAACAAAAUGUGCACUCAUGGGUAUGUCAAUGAAAUGUGUGCUCUACUUCAUUAUAUGUAGUAUAAUGUAAUUUUAAAAAACAGCUGUAACGGACCGUUUUGCACACAAGGGGUAAAAACCGUUUAGGCGAUCGUCCCCUUCUCAGAGAGGCAGGCACAGCUAUUGUAAAACACCAAACUCACGAAUCGCCAAUAAGGGAAUGCUCCAAACUCCCGAACAGCAUCCAAUAUAGCACUCCAAACACACAAACUGGAACCAUACGAAUCACUGCUCGCAGACGAAUAGGAAAAGCAUCCAAGCGGCUUACACUCCUAGCAAUCAGUCUCUAUCAGCAUUCAGUAAAUCCCCCCAAGGACGAGACAAGGCUCCGUGUUGAGGGUCAAGCAGUGGUCUGUUUAAUGAGGGCUACCUGCCCAGUAUUUAUGCAGGUCUCCCACCUGGUGGACACUCCCCUAGGGGACCAAAUGGGAGACUGUGACAAGGGACAGACAAGUAGACAAAUAAGACACACAGUCACAUUAUAUUCCCACAAUGCAUCCUGGCUUCCUCCCCUCUGCCCUGGAAAUAAUUGAGAAGUAAUUCAAUUAUCUCCCAAGACAAAGGCAAAUCGCCAUUAUGCACGUGGGGAUACUAACACAGGAAUUACUAUUAAAAUGCACUAUGUGAGACACAUAACCUUAAAAGCAUACAUUUAACAUAUCCCCAGAUAGCUCAGGUCUGAGCGCACAUUAUUAAGCGAAUGGCGCUCAAACCACACAAAUACAGUUCAAUCGCCAUGGAGCCAAAGUCUUUACACAGUCCGUUUAAUGCGAAUGGGCUCCAUCGGAUUCCUAUCUGGGGUAUAACACAUUCAAGCAAAACUACCGAACACCGGGCCGUUCGUGCACUUUCACCGAACAAGAAGGGAGGUCGGCGGCUUCAGCGGUGUUCGCGCAAAACUGUGUCCGAUUUCAGUUCCAUGAAUUAAGCGUCGAACACCGCUGUGUGUUCGCAUGUUUAAAAUGGCCGCGACCUCGUGUUCGUGAUACGAAUAGCGGCCAUCCAGCAUUCGUCAAUUAAGCUGCAGUUAACCGCAGCUUCAGGGAGGCUAAUUGCCGGCACACUCCAGCUCCCAGGCGGUCCAGUCAUUCGUGCGGUUGUUCAGUAGAUUGAAUCUACUGAACACCAGGCAGAAAAGAAUGAAUAAAUCUUUUCUGCAGGUAAAAAUAUGUCUUUUAACAUGGGGCCAUAGUCUAAGGGCAACAGGCAAGCAACCAGGCUUCUCCAAUGCAAUGUGGCGAGAUUGCUCUCGUCACAUCUCUCCCCUUUUCCAAACAGACUAACAGGGUAUCUGACCUCCUGCCGGUCAGUGCCCUUUUUAGUCCAGCAGCCCACCCACAAAACACAAUCAACAGCACAGCCCACCCACAAUAAAUGGUUACUACACCUGGGUAUAGGAGAUGCUUGUCCAUGUCCAGGUGCCUGACCACGGCUGUGCUGGGUACGGGUAUGCUGACUUGGUGGGUUGCUGCUUGGGCAGAGACCAGCGGUACUCUGCCCUGUUGCCAGCGCUACUGGGAGGGUAGCCUAGUUGAAGCCUGGUUGUUGGAGGGAGAGACCAACUGUCUCCCCUUUAGAUACACAGCCCUGCUGCUGGAGACCGACUGUCUCCCCUUUGGCUACACAGCCCUGUUGCUGGGGGGCAGAACCGACCGUCCCUACCCCCUGUGCUGGACGUGCAGAGACCACGGUCCCAUCUGCACAGUUGUGGGGCUUACUGUCUCCCCCGGGUACAUUAAGCUGCCGCUGGGGAGAGGGGGUAACAAGCUCCUCUCCCAUAUAUACUUCCAGCAACGGGGGAGGGAGACCGACUGUCUCUGCUCCCAAUACAGAGUCCUGCUGCUGGGGAAAGGAGACUGGGUUCUCUAUUCCUGGUAGGACACUCUGCUGCUGGGGAAUGGAGACUGGGCUCCCAAUUCCCAAUAAAUCAUUCUGCCACUGGGGAAUGGAGACUGGGCUCCCAAUUCUCUGCAAUUCAUUCUGCUGCUGGGGGACAGGAGCAACUAUCUCUGUCCCCUGUAACUCAGCCUGCCGCUGGGGAAUGAAGACUGGGCUCCAAAUUCCAUGCUGUAUCUCCCGCUGGGGAAUGGAACUCGGGCUCCCACUUCCCUGCAAUAUCUCCCGCUGGGGAAUGGAGACUGGGCUCCCAAUUCCCCCAAAAAUCAUACUGCCGCUGGGGAUCUGAACCGACUGCCCAGCAUCCCUGUAGCUCACCCUGCCACUGGGGAGGGAGGACGCUGCUCUCCUCUCCCUGCAAGGAACACUGCCGCUGGGGGACAGGACCACCUGUCUCUGCCCCCUGUAACUCAGCCUGCCGCUGGGGAAUGGAGCCUGGGCUCCCAAUUCCCAAUAAAUCAUUCUGCCGCUGGGGAAUGAAGACUGGGCUCCCAAUUCCCUGUAUAUCACACUGCCGCUGGGGAAUGGAGACUGGGCUCCCAAUUCCCUGCAGUACCUGCCGCUGGAGUUCUUCCCAACGUGCCAGCUGACCUUCUCUUUCUGCCUGGUGUUGCAGAUUCUUGAACACUAGGUCCCUCAUUGACUGCACGCAUUUCGCCAGUGGAUUGGGUCCAAAGAAGUUCAGCCGCAAUUCCAUCAUAUUAUCAAACUCUCUCCUAGAGUAGCUGUACGCCACUGCUGGUUCCAUCCUGGUACUGUCAGGGUCGCUGUACUCAGAAAUACGUUGCCCUCAAAUUGUAAAUUCCAUGGAAUGAUGUCUCCUGUAGCUGUCCUUUUUACUGUGGGAACGAUCCCACUGCUGCCACCAAUUGUAACGGACCAUUUUGCACACAAGGGGUAAAAAAACGUUUAGGCGAUCAUCCCCUUCGCAGAGAUGCAGGCACAGCUAUUAUAAAACACCAAACUCACGAAUCGCCAAUAAGGGAAUGCUCCAAACUCCCGAACAGCAUCCAAUAUAGCACUCCAAACACACGAACUGGAACCAUACGAAUCACUUCUCGCAGACGAAUAGGAAAAGCAUCCAAGCGGCUUACACUCCUAGCAAUCAGUCUCUAUCAGCAUUCAGUAAAUCCCCCCAAGGACGAGACAAGGCUCCGUGUUGUGGGUCAAGCAGUGGUCUGUUUAAUGAGGGCUACCUGCCCAGUUUUUAUGCAGGUCUCCCACCUGGUGGACACUCCCCUAGGGGACCAAAUGGGAGACUGUGACAAGGGAAAGACAAGUAGACAAAUAGGACACACAGUCACAUUAUAUUCCCACAAUGCAUCCUGGCUUCCUCCCCUCUGCCCUGGAGAUAAUUGAGAAGUAAUUCAAUUAUCUCCCAAGACAAAGGCAAAUCGCCAUUAUGCACGUGGGGAUACUAACACAGGAAUUACUAUUAAAAGACACAUAACCUUAAAAGCAUACAUUUAACAUAUCCCCCAAUAGCUCAGGUCUGAGCGCACAUUAUUAAGCGAAUGGCGCUCAAACCAAAUGAAUACAGUUUAAUCGCCAAAGUCUUUACACAGUCAGUUUCAUGCGAAUGGGCUCCAUGGGAUUCCUAUCUGGGGUAUAACACAUUCAAACAAAACUACCGAACACCGGGCAGUUCGUGCACUUUCACCGAACAAGAAGGGAGGUCGGCGGCUUCAGCGGUGUUCGCGCAAAACUGUGUCCGAUUUCAGUUCCAUGAAUUAAGCGUCGAACACCGCUGUGCGUUCGUAUGGUUAAAAUGGCCGCGACCUCGUGUUCGUGAUCCGAAUGGCGGCCACCCAGCUUUCGUCAAUUAAGCUGCGGUUAACCGCAGCUUCAGGGAGGCUAAUUGCCGGCACACUCCAGCUCCCAGGCGGUCCAGUCAUUUGUGCGGUUGUUCGGUAGAUUGAAUCUACUGAACACCAGGCAGAAAAGAACGCAUAAAUCUUUUCUGCAGGUAAAAAUAUGUCUUUUAACAUGGGGCCAUAGUCUAAGGGCAACAGGCGAGCAACCAGGCUUCUCCAAUGCAAUGUGGCAAGAUUGCUCUCGUCACAACAGCUGUCAACAAGUAAGAUAAGUAAGCAGUCAAAACAAAGCUAUCUAUGGGAUGUCAUAUGCAAAUGUGUGCAUUGUGAUUUUGAUGAUGCAGAGUAUGUGUGUCUGUGGGCAUCAUGGGUAUUGCACAAUAGAAGAAUCCUGAAUACACAUGCCCCUGCUACUGAAUGUUAGGAUUAUUGUGGUUCCAGCAUAGGUGCACACUUUAUUAUAUUGUAAGUAAUAUAACAUAUACUUCAAGAGAUUUACAGAGGUAAGAUGAUAUAUUUAAAAAAAACAAUUGCAUUAAAGCAAAACGUACUGUGCCAUUCCACAGAGUCAUAGCAAUGAAUUAAAUGUCACCAGUGAUUUGUGAUUUUUGAUCAAGACCAUUUAAUUUGCAGGGUAGAAUAGAUGAAAGGAUUGGAUUUUUCCCUGCUAAUUUUGUUCAAAAGGUCCAAAAAAAUGAAAAACUUUUUCGUUGCUGCAGAACAUUUAUUGGAUGCAAAGAACAAGGACAGAUAACAAUUAAAGAAAAUCAGGUA